UGGAGCAGAAGCGUGUAACCUUAGUUUGUUCAAGCCCAAUUGUGAGUUUAGUUGGUUUUGGAGAGGGUCAGUGGAACAGAGGCCCUUAAGUGGAGCAGAGCCCUUAUGAGGCACAAUCUACGACAACGGUUAUCCAUAAACUAUUGGUACAAUCAAGAUAGUGUUUUCUACGAGCCCUUUUCAUUAUGUUGUUAGGCCCUUUUAUUAGAGUAAAAGUUUUCAGAUCGGGCCACUUUGUAUACAUUUUUGUUAUUAAACGAGAUUGGUUUUAGGCUUA